GCUCUGGCUAGAACUUCCAGUACUAUAUUGAAUAGGAGUGGUGAAAGAGGGCAUCCUUGUCUAGUGCCAGAUUUCAAAGGGAAUGCUUCCAGUUUUUGCCCAUUCAGUAUGAUAUUGGCUGUUGGUUUGUCAUAAAUAGCUUUUAUUACUUUGAGAUACGUUCCAUCGAUACCGAGUUUAUUGAGGGUUUUUAGCAUAAAGGGCUGUUGAAUUUUGUCAAAUAUCUUCUCUGCGUCAAUUGAGAUAAUCAUGUGGUUUUUGUUUUUGGUUCUGUUUAUGUGGUGAAUUACGUUGAUAGACUUGCGUAUGUUGAACCAGCCUUACAUCCCCGGGAUGAAUCCUACUUGAUCAUGAUGAAUAAGUUUUUUGAUUUGCUGUUGCAAUCGGCUUGCCAAUAUUUUAUUGAAGAUUUUUGCAUCUAUGUUCAUCAUGGAUAUUGGCCUGAAGUUUUUUGUUCUGUUUAUGUGGUGAAUUACGUUGAUAGACUUGCAUAUGUUGAACCAGCCUUGCAUCCCCGGGAUGAAUCCUACUUGAUCGUGAUGAAUAAGUUUUUUGAUUUGCUGUUGCAAUUGGCUUGCCAAUAUUUUAUUGAAAAUUUUUGCAUCUAUGUUCAUCAUGGAUAUUGGCCUGAAGUUUUCUUUUCUUGUUGGGUCUCUGCCGGGUUUUGGUAUCAGGAUGAUAGUGGUCCCAUAGUAUGAUUUGGGAAGGAUUCCUUCUUUUGGAUUAUUUGGAAUAGUUUCAGAAGGAAUGGUACCAGCUCCUCUUGUGUGUCUGGUAGAAUUCGGCUGUGAACCCGUCUGUACCUGGGCUUUUUUGUGUGGUAGGCUCUUAAUUGCUGCCUCAACUGCUGACCUUGUUAUUGGUCUAUUCAUAGUUUCAGCUUCCCCCUGGUUUAGGCUUGGGAGGACACAGGAGUACAGGAAUUUAUCCAUUUCUUCCAGGUUUACUAUUUUAUGUGCAUAGAGUUGUUUGUAAUAUUCUCUGAUGAUGGUUUGAAUUUCUGUGGAAUCUGUGGUGAUUUCCCCUUUAUAAUUUUUUAUUGCAUCUAUUUGGUUGUUCUCUCUUUUAUUUUUAAUCAAUCUGGCUAGUGGUCUAUUUUGUUGAUCUUUUCUAAAUACCAGUUCUUGGAUUUAUUGAUUUUUUGAAGGGUUUUUCGUGUCUCAAUCUCCUUCAGUUCAGCUCUGCUCUUAGUUAUUUCGUGUCUUCUGCUGGGUUUUGAGUUUUGUCAAUUUUGGAUCUCUCCAUUCUCCUCAUAUGGGCACAUAUUGCUAUAUACUUUCCUCUAGAGACUGCUUUAAAUGUGUCCCAGAGGUUCUGGCAUGCUGUGUCUUCGUUCUCAUUG
rnacentral:lncRNA from 1 species